UACAGAGGUGGCGAGCGUUGUUCGGAUUUACUGGGCGUAAAGCGUGCGUAGGCGGCCUGUGUGUGUCGAACGUGAAAUCCCGGGGCUCACCCCCGGAAGUGCGUCCGAAACUACACGGCUAGGGUCCGGGAGGGGAGAUCGGAAUGCAUGGUGUAGCGGUGAAAUGCGUUGAUAUCAUGCAGAACACCGGUGGCGAAGGCGGAUCUCUGGAACGGUACCGACGCUGAGGCACGAAAGCGUGGGGA
rnacentral:rRNA from 1 species